GGUGGGGGUGGGGGGUCUCUGUGAAGAGAAGAGGUGCCUGCAGCAGAGCCUGCCCUGUCCCCUCCGUGGUUCCACAUCCGUGCCUCUGAGGACCUUGGACCCCCAAAGCGAGGCCCGAAGGUGUGGAGAAUGCCUGACAGGCUCCCUUGCCCUUCCUGUGGCCUGCGGAGGACCCCCAGGGACAGUGAGGAGGGCGCCUUGCCGGUGAGGGACGGCCGGUGUCAUCGUUGGAGCUUCCUAAGAGUCCCAGAGGCUGAUGCACCUCCCAGACUCUCCUCGGCCCGGCUCCCUGGGCCCUGCUCCAGGGGCUUCAUUGCUCCCUGCCCCGGGUCACCCCUCGGCUCACCGUCUCUCAGGUGUGGAAUAUCCUGCUCCAAUCAAAGCCAUGUCACCUGCGUUGUCCAGUGAAACAUCAGUGGACAGGCGCUGCCCGGGCUCCAGGGAGCUCCUCACUGAGGCUCACUCCCUGUGCCUCUGCCAUCAGCACAGGGGGACAUGCCUGGCUGCCUGUGGGACCAGGGAGGACGCGCGGUGCGGGAGCAGAGCCAGCCACACUGCCGCUGCUGCACUGUUCAUCUGAGUGGCGCAAGGUUAUGUGUUUCAGCUGCGAGUUUUUCAAAUUGUUGCAAAUCUUCAAACAUUUUUCCAACAAAUUUACUGAAAAAAAUCCACAUAUAAGUGGCACCCCCACCAGUUUAAACCUGUGUUGUUCAAGAGUCAGCUAUUUUUAUGAGGUGUUUUCAAAAGUUUAUGGAAAAUGAAUCUUAUGAAUAAAACUAUGCAUGGAUUUCAAAUCUUUUGCACCAAAAUAAACUCAUACUAACUUGUUAUAAAA
ensembl:lncRNA novel transcript